AAGUCGUAACAAGGUUUCCGUAGGUGAACCUGCGGAAGGAUCAUUAUCGAGAUAGGGUCCUUCGGGGCCCGACCUCCAACCCUUUGUCUACCUUACCACUGUUGCCUCGGCGGGUCGCCGGCGCCCUUAGCGGGGCGUCGCCGUCGGCCUCUGCGCUCUCGAGUGCCCGCCGCCAGGCCCUAUUAAACCCUUUAAACUUAGUCUUCUGAGAGUAUAUUUAAUACUUCAAAACUUUCAACAACGGAUCUCUUGGAUCUGGCAUCGAUGAAGAACGCAGCGAAAUGCGAUAAGUAAUGUGAAUUGCAGAAUUCAGUGAAUCAUCGAAUCUUUGAACGCACAUUGCGCCCCUUGGUAUUCCGAGGGGCAUGCCUGUUCGAGCGUCAUUUUCAACCAUCAAGCCUAGCUUGNNAUUGGGCGCCGUCCCCCCGGGACUCGCCCUAAAGUGNNCGGCGGUGGCCCCGAGCCUCAAGCGUAGUACAAUCUCCAGCUUCAGAGGUCUCGGCGGCUUGCCCCUAGAACCCAUCACCUAAAGGUUGACCUCGGAUCAGGUAGGGAUACCCGCUGAACUUAAGCAUAUCAAUAAGCGGAGGAAAAGAAACCAACAGGGAUUGCCCUAGUAACGGCGAGUGAAGCGGCAACAGCUCAAAUUUGAAAUCUGGCCCCUUCGGGGUCCGAGUUGUAAUUUGUAGAGGAUGCUUCGGCGUAGGCCUCGGGCUAGGUCCCUUGGAACAGGGCGUCAUAGAGGGUGAGAACCCCGUCUUUGCCUGAGACCCCUUCGCCAUGUGAAGCUCCUUCGACGAGUCGAGUUGUUUGGGAAUGCAGCUCUAAGUGGGAGGUAAAUUUCUUCUAAAGCUAAAUAACGGCCAGAGACCGAUAGCGCACAAGUAGAGUGAUCGAAAGAUGAAAAGCACUUUGGAAAGAGAGUUAAAAAGCACGUGAAAUUGUUGAAAGGGAAGCUCUUGCUACCAGACUUGCCCGCGGUUGCUCAACCUUACGGUGUACUCUUCCGCGGGCAGGCCAGCAUCAGUUUGGGCGGCCGGAUAAAGGCUCUAGGAAUGUGGCCCCUCCGGGGGUGUUAUAGCCUAGAGUGCAAUGCGGCCAGCCCGGACUGAGGACCGCUUUAUAGGAUGCUGGCGUAAUGGUCGUAAGCGACC
rnacentral:rRNA from 1 species